rnacentral:rRNA from 1 species
GACGAACGCUGGCGGCGUGCUUAACACAUGCAAGUCGAACGCUGAAGCUCAGCUUGCUGGGUGGAUGAGUGGCGAACGGGUGAGUAACACGUGAGUAACCUGCCCCCUUCUUUGGGAUAACGCCCGGAAACGGGUGCUAAUACUGGAUAUUCACUGAUCUUCGCAUGGGGGUUGGUGGAAAGGUUUUUUCUGGUGGGGGAUGGGCUCGCGGCCUAUCAGCUUGUUGGUGGGGUGAUGGCCUACCAAGGCUUUGACGGGUAGCCGGCCUGAGAGGGUGACCGGUCACAUUGGGACUGAGAUACGGCCCAGAGUCGUACGGGAGGCAGCAGUGGGGAAUAUUGCACAAUGGGCGAAAGCCUGAUGCAGCGACGCCGCGUGAGGGAUGGAGGCCUUCGGGUUGUAAACCUCUUUCGCUCAUGGUCAAGCCGCAACAUUGGUUGUGGUGAGGGUAGUGGGUAAAGAAGCGCCGGCUAACUACGUG